GGGCAUGAGGGUAAUCUGGCUGCUACACCUGUCUCGGCAUUGAUCGUCAGGGUUGAUUCGGCUGACCUGGCUGGUGAGGUGCGUUUCCCUUUUUCCCUUCCUCCCUCCCUGCUCCACGUGCAUCCCUCCCAAAGCUGUGAAGCUGCGCUUUAGGUGGAAGAGGACCUUCUUUGGUCAAGGGUAUAGGAGUAGCUGUGCUCCCCUGCUAGAACCUUCAGACAAACUCUCAAGCACCAUUUGUAGGAGAAAGCAGGGCAGUCAAGUCUCCAAGACUCGGAGACACUGCAUGUUGCCGGCGGCCUUAAUUA
rnacentral:snRNA from 1 species